AGGGCACCACCAGGAGUGGAGCCUGCGGCUUAAUUUGACUCAACACGGGAAAACUCACCCGGCCCGGACACUGGAAGGAUUGACAGAUUGAGAGCUCUUUCUUGAUUCAGUGGGUGGUGGUGCAUGGCCGUUCUUAGUUGGUGGAGUGAUUUGUCUGGUUAAUUCCGAUAACGAACGAGACUCUAGCCUACUAAAUAGAUCGUCGGCUUACAAACGCCGGCGAGACUUCUUAGAGGGACAGGCGGUGAUUCAACCGCACGAAACAGAGCAAUAACAGGUCUGUGAUGCCCUUAGAUGUCCGGGGCCGCACGCGCGCUACACUGAAGUGAUCAGCGUGCUUUUUCAACCUACUCUGUCAAGAGUGGGGAACCCAAUGAACCUUCUUCGUGAUUGGGAUAGGGGAUUGUAAUUAUUCCCCUUGAACGAGGAAUUCCCAGUAAGCGCGAGUCAUAAGCUCGCGCUGAUUACGUCCCUGCCCUUUGUACACACCGCCCGUCGCUACUACCGAUUGAAUGUUUU
rnacentral:rRNA from 1 species